AUCAAGUUGUCCCCCCAGCCGCCAGAUGACGCCAGUGUCUGAGAGGACGAAACUUAUCGCCAUUUUGUUCCGAAACGCCAAGUGGAAAGGUAUUCCAAAUUCGUUACGGAAUUGCAGGUGUCGAUCUACAUUUUCAGCAUUGAAAUUUAAUGGCAAUCUGGCAUAUAAUUUCCGCUUGGCCAAAUAAUCGAUCACGUGGACUGGAACUGCUUUCUAUUUUGCCGAAAUGUCGUCGGUUGUUAGCUGUACCUGUUCGGAUGGACGUCUCAUCUCACGCAGAAACACUACAGAGUUGGUGUUCAGGUUGGAGAUCCCGUUGCCUAACUGUUGCAGAAUGUGAGAACUCAACAAAGUCUGAGCUCCAUGGCCGGCAUCAUUACAGUGGUUUUGUUGCAGCCAGCUGGUGAAAGGCGUGAUUGAGUCAAGUUGAGCUGCAGCUGCUGCAUGCAGUUUAUCGAGCUGGUGUUAUCCUGAAGGGUCAUUGCAGGAAGAUUUUUUGAAAUGGACUUGGUGAUACUUAAACUAUGCCUGUGCUGUUUAAUGUGCAGUGGUUUUGCAGCCUGUUUCCAGUUGAGAGGUGUGAUUAUGCAGCUGAUACAGGAUUGAAGAAAAGAACUGAAGUAGCUGUUCUGGUGUUCUCCUGAAAUUGCUGUGCCACAAGAGUUGAAGAUAGUGUUUGGUUCCUGAUAGAAGUUUAUUUAAAGAGUCUGAGAUGAUCACCCACUUCUGCCAAUAACUUAUGUAAAACUUCUAAGUUGUAAGAAAUAUACAAGUCAAGUGCUAAA
rnacentral:lncRNA from 1 species